GACGAACGCUGGCGGCGUGCUUAACACAUGCAAGUCGAACGGAGUGGCGAACGGGUGAGUAACACGUGGGUGAUCUGCCUUGCACUUCGGGAUAAGCUUGGGAAACUGGGUCUAAUACCGGAUAGUGCAAGAUGAGCUCGCGGCCUAUCAGCUUGUUGGGGUGGUAAGGGCCUCCCAAGGCGUCGAAGGGUAGCCUGCCUGAGAGGGUGGACGGGAACCAUGGGACUGAGAUACGGCGCAGAAUCGUACGGGAGGCAGUAGGGGGGAAUAUUGCACAAUGGGCGGAAGCCUGAUGCAGCGACGCCGGGUGGGGGAUGAAGGCCUUCUGGUUGUAAACACCUUUCGACAGGGACGCGGUACCUGUAUAAGAAGCACCGGCUAACUACGUGCCAGCAGCCGCGGUAAUUC
rnacentral:rRNA from 1 species